rfam:Apis mellifera strain DH4 linkage group 8, whole genome shotgun sequence.
AGCGUGGUAUUUGUUUUAGAAUUCCUACGCUUUACCGAUGUUCGAAGUGGCAAAGCGUUUGAAAUCUGAAACGAAUGCGCA